rnacentral:rRNA from 1 species
UACGUAGGGGGCAAGCGUUGUCCGGAAUCAUUGGGCGUAAAGAGCGUGUAGGCGGCUCGAUAAGUCUGCUGUGAAAGUCCAGGGCUCAACCCUGGAAGGCCGGUGGAAACUGUCGGGCUAGAGUCCGGAAGAGGCGAGUGGAAUUCCCGGUGUAGCGGUGAAAUGCGUAGAUAUCUGGAGGAACACCGGUGGCGAAGGCGGCAUCCUGGACCAUGACUGACGCUGAGGAGCGAAAGCCAGGGGAGCAAACGGG